rnacentral:rRNA from 1 species
UACGAAGGGGGCUAGCGUUGUUCGGAAUUACUGGGCGUAAAGGGCGCGUAGGCGGUGUGUCAAGUCAGGCGUGAAAGCCCCGGGCUCAACCUGGGAACCGCGCUUGAGACUGGCACGCUCGAGUUCCGGAGAGGAUGGUGGAAUUCCAGGUGUAGCGGUGAAAUGCGUAGAUAUCUGGAGGAACACCGGUGGCGAAGGCGGCAUCCUGGACCGACAUUGACGCUGAGGCGCGAAAGCCAGGGGAGCAAACGGG